rnacentral:rRNA from 1 species
UACGUAGGGGGCGAGCGUUGUCCGGAAUCAUUGGGCGUAAAGCGCGUGUAGGCGGCCCGGUAAGUCCGCUGUGAAAGUCCAGGGCUCAACCCUGGGAUGCCGGUGGAUACUGUCGGGCUUGAGUACGGAAGAGGCGAGUGGAAUUCCUGGUGUAGCGGUGAAAUGCGCAGAUAUCGAGAGGAACACCUGCGGCGAAGGCGGGUUGCUGGGCUGACACUGACGCUGACAGCGCGAAAGCUAGGGGAGCGAACGGG